GUCUGUCCUCCCAGUGUCCAACGUUGCCUCGCGGAGGCCGCCGUGCGGAGCAAAUGUCUAACGGAAAUCAGAGGUGGAAAAGAGGUUGGAGGAGCCUGCUCCGUUCCACUCGCUUUUACUGAUGCGCCCACCAGCAGCCACGCUUGGGGCUGGGGGCUUUGAGGACACGCACGUGAACUCAUCCUUAUGGAUUCAGAAGACAAAGAAUACAAGCAAGCAGGAGAAAGUCUAAGAAGAAAGUUCACCUGGUAUGUUCCACCAAAAAGAAAGAAAAAAAGCUGUAUGGUGAGUGUAUGUUGCAUUAUCAAAGGUAUUCCUGAUAGAAGAG